GACGAACGCUGGCGGCGUGCUUAACACAUGCAAGUCGAAUGGAAAGGCCUCUUUCGGGGGGUACUCGAGUGGCGAACGGGUGAGUAACACGUGAGUAACCUGCCCUUGACUUUGGGAUAACUUCAGGAAACUGGGGCUAAUACCGGAUAGGAGCUCCUGCUGCAUGGUGGGGGUUGGAAAGUUUCGGCGGUUGGGGAUGGACUCGCGGCUUAUCAGCUUGUUGGUGGGGUAGUGGCUUACCAAGGCUUUGACGGGUAGCCGGCCUGAGAGGGUGACCGGCCACAUUGGGACUGAGAUACGGCCCAGACUCCUACGGGAGGCAGCAGUGGGGAAUAUUGCACAAUGGGUGGAAGCCUGAUGCAGCAACGCCGUGUGCGGGAUGACGGCCUUCGGGUUGUAAACCGCUUUCGCUCAUGACGAAGCUUUGUGUGACGGUAGUGGGUAAAGAAGCACCGGCUAACUACGUG
rnacentral:rRNA from 1 species